rnacentral:rRNA from 1 species
UCUGUUUGAAGUUAUAAAAAGUCUGACCUGCCCCCUGAAGAGUAAUUUUAAGGGCCGCGGUAUUAUGACCGUGCAAAGGUAGCAUAAUCAUUAGAUUUUUAAAUGGAAUCUUGUAUGAAUGGUCGAACAAAGAAAAAGCUGUCUUUUUUUUAAAAAUUGAAUUUUACUUUUAAGUGAGAAGGCUUAAAUGGUUUAGAGGGACGAUAAGACCCUAUAAAGCUUCACAUUAUAAUUAUAUCUGGUGAAAUUUUUAUAGGAAAGUUUGAUAUAGUUUUUGUUAUGUUGGGGAGAUAUAAGUAUAGAUUAUAAUAACUGCUUAAAUUAUAUACAAUUAUAGGUGGAUAGAAAAGAGGAUCCUUUUAUAAAGAUUAAAAGAUUAAGUUACUUUAGGGAUAACAGUGUAAUUUUUUUUGAGAGUUCAUAUCGAAAAAAAAGUUUGCAACCUCGAUGUUGAAUUAAAAUAUCUUUAUAAUGUAGUUGUUAUGGAAGAGGGUCUGUUCGACCUUU